rnacentral:rRNA from 1 species
AACUAACGCUGGCGGCGUGCCUAACACAUGCAAGUCGAACGAGAAAGUUGGCUUCGGCCGAUGAGUAAAGUGGCGCACGGGUGAGUAACGCGUGGAUAAUCUGCCCUUUAGUUUGGAAUAACGUACCGAAAGGUGCGCUAAUACCGGAUAAUACUGAAUGACUACUGUCGUUUAGUCAAAGAAGGCUUCUGUUUACAUGCUUUUGCUGAAGGAUGAGUCCGCGUACCAUUAGCUAGUUGGUAGGGUAAUGGCCUACCAAGGCGACGAUGGUUAGCUGGUCUGAGAGGAUGAUCAGCCACACUGGAACUGAGACACGGUCCAGACUCCUACGGGAGGCAGCAGUGAGGAAUAUUGCGCAAUGGGGGCAACCCUGACGCAGCAACGCCGCGUGAGUGAGGAAGGUUUUCGGACCGUAAAGCGUCUGUCGAGCGGGAAGAAAUGCAUGGUGGCUAAUAUCCAUCAUGCUUGACGGUACCGCUAAAGGAAGCACC